UCAGGAUGAACGCUGGCGGCGUGCCUAACACAUGCAAGUCGAACGGGGUUACUGGCAGCGGAGAUUCGGUCAAAGCAGCCUUAAUCUAGUGGCGGACGGGUGAGUAACGCGUGGGGAACCUGCCCUGUACUGGGGGAUAACAGUGAGAAAUCACUGCUAAUACCGCAUAAGCGCACAGCAUCGCAUGAUGCAGUGUGAAAAAACUGAGGUGGUACAGGAUGGCUCCGCGUUGGAUUAGCCAGUUGGCGGGGUAACGGCCCACCAAAGCGACGAUCCAUAGCCGGCCUGAGAGGGUGAACGGCCACAUUGGGACUGAGACACGGCCCAGACUCCUACGGGAGGCAGCAGUGGGGAAUAUUGCACAAUGGGGGAAACCCUGAUGCAGCCGACGCCGCGUGAAGGAAGAAGUAUCUCGGUAUGUAAACUUCUAUCAGCAGGGAAGAUGAUGACGGUACCUGACUAAGAAGCCCCGGCUAACUACGUGCCAGCAGCUGC
rnacentral:rRNA from 1 species